ACAACAACAAGAACAACAUAUCCAAUAAAAUUUCACAAGUGAGGUCUGAGGAGGAUAUAAUAUACGUAAACCUUACAAUUAUAUUAUGGAAGUAGAUAGACUGUUUGUGAAAUGAACAAAUUUCGUUCCGGGUCUUGCUUCUCAUCUUCUAAGUAGGGAAAAGGCUGAAAAAGGAGGGUAUGUUCAGAUCUAAUUAAAAAGUGGAGAUAGUUGGGCCAUAUAUCGAAAUUGGGCACUAGAUGGAAAUAAAAAAACCCUAAAUUUCUCUUCCCACAUACGGAAGGAAUACAUUUUGGAGUCCUAAUCUCUAUUUAGUGAAAGUGAGUUUACAGUCUCUCUCACCUUUUUUUCUAUUGAAACUACUGUAGCAUAUGUGAUGAAAUUAUGAUGCGAAGUUGAACAACGCCAUGGGUUUCAAAUUCGUGUUUACUAAAGGCGGACAUGAUCACCCACAUCAUAUGUAACAUGCUCACUUCUCCAGCGAAUAAAUAUUUUCUCUAUGUUAAUAUGGGGAAUAGAUGAUCCAUUUGGCACUCGGGAUGAAGUCUUACAAAUUGCAAGCAAAUUGAGCAUUUUCAUAACUAUUGAUCUUUGAUUACAUAAGCAUUAUGAGUAUAGUAGCAACACUUUCUCUGAAGAAUGUUAGUGUGUACUUGGGAGCAGCUCCGAUUGUUGAAUGUCUUCACAAUUUUAGACCGAAUGUCAUUUUUACUUCUCGAGUUGCUGAUGCUUCCUUAUUCUUAGCCCCAAUGGUAUAACACUAGAUCCCUUUUUCAUUCCAAUACUCCUGGAACAGACAUUUAUUCAUUCACUUGUAUAAUACUGUUAUAAGGAUGGGGCAUUUUUCAUCUUCAUAUGAAAUUAGCUCCAAUUGUAGUUAUAAGGUGAAAACUGCCUUCUUGUUACCACUUAUUGGAGGAAACAAUUCAAAGCUAUCUUGUAAUAUAUAAGUGAAAGAAGCAGAAUCUUUAUGAGGUAUUUGAA